ACUUUCAGCAGUGAGGAAGGUGGAUAUGUUAAUAGCAUAUUCAUUUGACGUUAGCUGCAGAAGAAGCACCGGCUAACUCCGUGCCAGCAGCCGCGGUAAUACGGAGGGUGCGAGCGUUAAUCGGAAUUACUGGGCGUAAAGCGCAUGCAGGUGGUUUGUUAAGUCAGAUGUGAAAGCCCGGGGCUCAACCUCGGAAUUGCAUUUGAAACUGGCAAACUAGAGUACUGUAGAGGGGGUAGAAUUUCAGGUGUAGCGGUGAAAUGCGUAGAGAUCUGAAGGAAUACCGGUGGCGAAGGCGGCCCCCCUGGACAGAUACUGACACUCAGAUGCGAAAGCGUGGGGAGCAAACAGGAUUAGAUACCCUGGUAG
rnacentral:rRNA from 1 species